AUGAUUAGAAUGUGCUUGAGAGAGGGGAAACAGCCAAGGACAUGGUCAGCUGGCCCUGAGACACCAUGGAGACAAGUAAACACUGGAUUAUUAUUUCCACCACUUCUUUCUACCACUCUGAAUGUGGUAGAUAUUGCGAUAAAUAAGACCUCUGAAGGAAGAUUCUGGGCCUCAGCUCACAGUUCUGGGCUUCUCUCUGGACAUCCACUGUGGAAGACAGCAUCUAACGAGUUCGGUGCAGCAGGCCAGGAAGAUGCAGAAAACGUCAUCCAGCGAGUGGUACUUCCAGAUGGCCAGGUGACAACGGAGCCCUACCAAACAAGUCCCAGGAAAAUGUACAAACUCCACAUGAAGUUUUAUAGGCUUCUGAGGAAGUGCAUUCAGUAUAAUGGAGGCCAAGGAACCUACCAACUCAAUAUGCUAUUUCAACACAUUCAGUCAGCCAGUGGACUUAACCUCAAGUUCAUUUCUGCACGGAUCAUUUACAGUGUUAAUCUGCGAGUUUGUAUGGAAUUCCCUUGA
rnacentral:lncRNA from 12 species